UGAUCAUGGCUCAGAUUGAACGCUGGGGAACGCUUUACACAUGCAAGUCGAACGGCAGCACGGAGAGCUUGCUCUCUGGUGGCGAGUGGCGAACGGGUGAGUAAUAUAUCGGAACGUGUCCAAUAAUGGGGGAUAACGAGUCGAAAGAUUCGCUAAUACCGCAUACGCCCUACGGGGGAAAGCAGGGGAUCGUAAGACCUUGCGUUAAUGGAGCGGCCGAUAUCUGAUUAGCUUGUUGGUGAGGUAAAGGCUCACCAAGGCGACGAUCAGUAGCUGGUUUGAGAGAACGACCAGCCACACUGGAACUGAGACACGGUCCAGACUCCUACGGGAGGCAGCAGUGGGGAAUUUUGGACAAUGGGGGCAACCCUGAUCCAGCCAUUCCGCGUGAGUGAAGAAGGCCUUCGGGUUGUAAAGCUCUUUUUUCAAGGGAAGAAAACUUAUGAUCGAAUAAAUCAUGAGGUUGACGGUACCUUGAUAAGAAGCACCGGCUAACUACGUGCCAGCAGCCGCGGUAAUACGUAGGGUGCGAGCGUUAAUCGGAAUUACUGGGCGUAAAGCGUGCGCAGGCGGUUUUGUAAGUCGGAUGUGAAAUCCCCGGGCUCAACCUGGGAACUGCGUUCGAAACUGCAAGGCUAGAGUGUGUCAGAGGGGGGUAGAAUUCCACGUGUAGCAGUGAAAUGCGUAGAGAUGUGGAGGAAUACCAAUGGCGAAGGCAGCCCCCUGGGAUAACACUGACGCUCAUGCACGAAAGCGUGGGGAGCAAACAGGAUUAGAUACCCUGGUAGUCCACGCCCUAAACGAUGUCAACUAGUUGUUGGUAGAGUAAAAUCUAUGAGUAACGUAGCUAACGCGUGAAGUUGACCGCCUGGGGAGUACGGUCGCAAGAUUAAAACUCAAAGGAAUUGACGGGGGCCCGCACAAGCGGUGGAUUAUGUGGAUUAAUUCAAUGCAACGCGAAAAACCUUACCUGGCCUUGACAUGUACCGAAUUGAGCAGAGAUGUUCAAGUGCUCGAAAGAGAACGGUAACACAGGUGCUGCAUGGCUGUCGUCAGCUCGUGUCGUGAGAUGUUGGGUUAAGUCCCGCAACGAGCGCAACCCUUGCCAUUAAUUGCCAUCAUUUAGUUGGGCACUUUAAUGGGACUGCCGGUGACAAACCGGAGGAAGGUGGGGAUGACGUCAAGUCCUCAUGGCCCUUAUGGCCAGGGCUUCACACGUAAUACAAUGGUCGGUACAGAGGGUUGCCAACCCGCGAGGGGGAGCCAAUCCCAGAAAGCCGAUCGUAGUCCGGAUUGUAGUCUGCAACUCGACUGCAUGAAGUCGGAAUCGCUAGUAAUCGCGGAUCAGCAUGUCGCGGUGAAUACGUUCCCGGGCCUUGUACACACCGCCCGUCACACCAUGGGAGUGGGUUUUACCAGAAGUAGUUAGUCUAACCGCAAGGGAGACGAUUACCACGGUAGGAUUCAUGACUGGGGUGAAGUCGUAACAAGGUA
rnacentral:rRNA from 1 species